rnacentral:misc_RNA from 1 species
UUGAAUAAAUCUGGCUUGGUUGAUGCUGGUCUUUUCGAAGACAUGUGCACACCUUGUCAUCUUUAUAUCUCCACCUGUGCACCUCUUGUAGACCUGGAUUCAACUUUCCGAGGAAACUCUGAUAAUUAUGUCGUCUGAGCACUAUUAUAAAUAGUUA